rnacentral:rRNA from 1 species
CAGCCGUAAACUAUGCUCGCUAGGUGUCAGGCAUGGCGCGACCGUGUCUGGUGCCGCAGGGAAGCCGUGAAGCGAGCCACCUGGGAAGUACGGCCGCAAGGCUGAAACUUAAAGGAAUUGGCGGGGAGCACAACAACGGGUGGAGCCUGCGGUUUAAUUGGACUCAACGCCGGACAACUCACCGGGGACGACAGCAAUAUGUAGGCCAGGCUGAAGACCUUGCCUGAAUCGCUGAGAGGAGGUGCAUGGCGUAGACGUCU